ensembl:lncRNA
UUUAAUAUAUAUAUUAAGUAAAAAAAGGGAUAUUUUAAAAGAAGCAAAUUAUUUUUAUUCUUUACUUAGUUUUUUAAAAGAGUUUAAACAAAAAGAAGUUGAAGAGGGUUACACUAUUAAUAACUAUAAUAACUACAUCAAUAAUAACGUAGCUAACCACAAUAGUACUUACGCAAGUAGUUAUAAUAAUAAUAGUAAAAAUAACCCAAACCCAUUCGAUAAAACAAAUAAUUGCGAUUUUAUUUUAAACCAAUGGAAGAAGUCAAUAAAAAUUUAUAUAUCUUGGUUUCCAGAAAUUGUUGAAGACAAAUAUAAAUCUAAGUGCUUUUCAUCAGCAACUUAUCUAGUAUUUCAUGUCGUUGUACCUGAAUUUGAAAAUAAUACACAACAGUAUACACAAAUCCUAAAAAAGUAUGAUUAUUAUGAUUUUUAUAAUAUUGUAAAAAAUGAUAAUAAAAUAAAAAAUAAAAAAAAUGAUAAACGAUAUGGUAGUAACUACAUAUUAGAUCAUAGUGACAGAAAUUCAUCAAAUGUUUUUUCGCAUAAUCACGAAACUGGUAAUUUCCAUAAAAAAAAUUAUGAACAGACAAGUAAUAUGAUAAAAAAUGGACAAACUAUGAAUUCCAAACAAAAUUUGAAUAAUCCGAUAGUAGUUAAUAGAAAAUAUGAUAAUUUAAUAUAUAAUCAGAUAGAUAAAGAGAAGGCUGAAGUAAAUGAGCAGGAGAUGAGAAAUCAAAAUGUAGGAUAUGACAUGUAUAUGAUAAAAAAUAAUGAAAGUAGUCUAGCUUUUGAGAAGAAAGGGGUACCAAAAAAUGAUAAUAAAAUAAAAAAUAACAAAAAUGAUGAACAUGUUAAUAAUAAUCACGUGAUAGAGUAUUGUGUUAGUACGGCCAUAGGUAGUGGUAGUGGAGGUGGGAGUACAGGCAUAAAAUUAGUCUAUAUGAUAAAUGAAAGUAACUCCAAAUUUAUAGAAAAAAUAAACAAAGAAAGUAAAUAUGUUAAUAAAUUUAACGAAACAAAAGAAAAAGUGUUUGUUUUUUCUUUUAACGUGUUAGAUUUAAAAUAUAAUGAACAAGUUAAAAAAAUAUUAAAUGAUUGUAUGACCGAAAAAAUGUGUUUUUCACAGGAUCAACGAUAUAGUAUUAAUAGUGAUAUGGUAAAUAGUUUGAAUAGUAGCGGUAGUAGUAACAUCAAAAAUCCGUUUUUAUUUGUCGUGUACGAUGUAAAACGUUUAAUACACAUUUUUAACAACAUAAAUAUAAAAUUUCCAAAUUACAGUAAAGUUUGUGAUAUUUAUAUAAUGAGCUCAUUGUUACAAAUAUCACAACGAGGUGAUAAAUUACAAAACGUAUUUAAUGAAUACUUAAAUGAUAAGUAUACAUCUAUUUUUUAUAAUUCAAAUAAAAUGAUAAAACAAAUUGAAAAUUAUUUUUCUUCUUGUUUUUUUAUGCCUCCUGAAUAUUCAGAUGUAGUAUUAGGAAGGUAUGGUAUUUUUGGUUGGGGUAAAUACCAAAAAGAAAAAGUUGAAUUAUCUAACAAAACAGUGACCCAACAUGUAUUAAAAGAAUGUUUGUUUAACAAUGAAAUUGCAGGAAAUGAUCACAUGAAUGAUAUGACAAACACUACCGGUGUUGAUAGUGGUGGUAGAGGUAGUGGUAGUGUUAGUUGUAGUAGUAAUACCCAUAACACGCAUCAUAAACAAAAUGAGCAAAAUAAAGACGAACACGAGAAGGCAGUAAACAGUAGAAAGAAAAAACAAAAUAAAGGAAAGAAAGGAAAGAAAGGAAAUAAAGAAAAGAAGGAAAAUAAGGAAAGCGGUUUUUCGUCCAAACUAAAAAAAUAUGAUAAUAACGAAUUAUGUUAUUUAACUUUCACACA